UAUGGCCAUAACACAUUGAAGCAUCGGUUCUCGUAAGAUCACCAAAGUUAGGCAACGUCUUGCCUGGUCAGUACCUAGAUAGGUGACCGCUUGGGAAUAACAGGUGUUGUAAG
rnacentral:rRNA from 1 species